UCCUAAAUACAUGCAAGUCGAACGGGAUUCAAAGUAGCAAUAUUUUGAUGAGAGUGGCGCACGGGUGAGUAACACGUAUGCAAUUUACCUUUAACUGGGGGAUAGCCCUCCGAAAGGAGGAUUAAUACCGCAUAAUAUAUUGAAAUGGCAUCAUUUUAAUAUUAAACCUACGGGGGUUAAAGAUGAGCAUGCAUCCGAUUAGCUAGUUGGUGUGGUAACGGCUCACCAAGGCAACGAUCGGUAGGGGGUCUGAGAGGAUGAUCCCCCACACUGGUACUGAGACACGGACCAGACUCCUACGGGAGGCAGCAGUAAGGAAUAUUGGACAAUGGAGGCAACUCUGAUCCAGCCAUGCCGCGUGAAGGAUUAAGGCCCUAUGGGUUGUAAACUUCUUUUAGACGGGACAAAACCCCUUUACGUGUAAAGGGUUGAUGGUACUGUCAGAAUAAGCAUCGGCUAACUUCGUGCCAGCAGCCGCGGUAAUACGAAGGAUGCAAGCGUUAUCCGGAAUUAUUGGGUUUAAAGGGUGCGUACGCGGACUAAUAAGUCAGUGGUGAAAGCCUGCAGCUUAACUGCAGAAUUGCCGUUGAUACUGUUAGUCUUGAGUACAGUUGAGGUAGGCGGAAUGUGUCAUGUAGCGGUGAAAUGCUUAGAUAUGACACAGAACACCGAUUGCGAAGGCAGCUUGCUAAGCUGUAACUGACGCUGAGGCACGAAAAGCGUGGGGAGCAAACAGGAUUAGAUACCCUGGUAGUCCACGCCCCUAAACGAUGAUAACUCGCUGUUGGCGAUAUACUGUCAGCAGCCAAGCGAAARGCAUUARAGUUA
rnacentral:rRNA from 1 species